rnacentral:rRNA from 1 species
UGUCCGGAAUCAUUGGGCGUAAAGCGCGUGUAGGCGGUCCGGUAAGUCCGCUGUGAAAGCCAGGGGCUCAACCCUUGGAUGCCGGUGGAUACUGUCGGGCUUGAGUACGGAAGAGGCGAGUGGAAUUCCUGGUGUAGCGGUGAAAUGCGCAGAUAUCAGGAGGAACACCAAUUGCGAAGGCAGCUCGCUGGGACGUUACUGACGCUGAGACGCGAAAGCGUGGGGAGCAAACAGG